UAGUCCACGCCCUAAACGAUGUGUACUAGAUCGAGGAGGUUUUGACGCCAUCUCGGUCGGAGCAAAAGUAUUAAGUACACCGCCUGGGGAGUACGGUCGCAAGGCUAAAACUCAAAGGAAUUGACGGGGGCUCACACAAGCGGUGGAGCAUGUGGCUUAAUUCGAAGCAACGCGAAGAACCUUAUCCAGGGCUUGACAUGCACGGAUUAGCUUCCUGAAAAGGAAGUGACGCCUUUGGUGGAACGUGCACAGGUGCUGCAUGGCUGUCGUCAGCUCGUGCUGUGAAGUGUCGGGUUAAGUCCCUUAACGAGCGAAACCCUUGCCGCUAGUUGCCAUCGAGUAAUGUCGGGGACUCUAGCGGGACUGCCGGUGUCAAACCGGAGGAAGGUGGGGAUGACGUCAAGUCCUCAUGGCCUUUAUGCCCUGGGCUGCACACGUGCUACAAUGGCGCGGACAGAGCGACGCGAUACCGCAAGGUGGAGCAAAUCGCACAAACCGCGCCCC
rnacentral:rRNA from 1 species